CGCGUAGGCGGCGAUCCAAGUCAGGGGUGAAAUCCCGGGGCUCAACCCCGGAACUGCCCUUGAAACUAGGUUGCUAGAAUACUGGAGAGGUGAGUGGAAUUCCGAGUGUAGAGGUGAAAUUCGUAGAUAUUCGGAAGAACACCAGUGGCGAAGGCGACUCACUGGACAGUUAUUGACGCUGAGGUGCGAAAGCGUGGGGAGCAAACA
rnacentral:rRNA from 1 species